rnacentral:lncRNA from 1 species
UUAAAAAGUUUUCUGUUGUGCUGGAUCCAGGUCGAAAGUGAAUAAAUAGAAAACUAUUGAUGUAACUUUUAAUACAAGUAGGCUAUAUUAUCAGCCGGAUUAACAAACGGAUAAAAGUAACUUAGAACAGAAUUCGCCUACAAAAGCAUCUUGCAUAGGAAGACCAGCAUUCGUAGAAUUAUAUUAGUGUUACACAUAAGUUAUUAAAUUUGAAUUAAACAAUGGAAGAAGCAGAAGUUUCAAGUGAGGACAAGAAUGUCAUUGUUUGUCCAGUUAAUUACGAACAAGCUGCAAAUGCAAUGGAUAGAGUGAGGCAAAAUGAAAGUAUGUUCAAGGAACUUCUAAACGGUAAAUGCUUUAGUCAUAAACUUUGAAGCUGAUAUAAAGAAGGAUAUUCUUCAGAAUUUAUAUACGU